GUGCACUACUUUAGACCAGGGCUCAUAGGGUAGUGCACUACUUUAGACCAGGGCCUAUAGGGGUAGUGCACUACUUUAGACCAAGGCUCAUAGGGUAGUGCACUACUUUAGACCAGGGCCUAUAGGGGUAGUGCACUACUUUAGACCAGGGCUCAUAGGGGUAGUGCACUACUUUAGACCAGGGCCUAUAGGGGUAGUGCACUACUUUAGACCAGGGCCAUAGGGGUAGUGCACUACUUUAGACCAGGGCCAUAGGG